rnacentral:rRNA from 1 species
UACGGGGGGGGCAAGCGUUGUUCGGAAUUACUGGGCGUAAAGGGCUCGUAGGUGGCCAACUAAGUCAGACGUGAAAUCCCCAGGCUUAACCUGGGAACUGCGUCUGAUACUGGAUGGCUUGAAUUCGGGAGAGGGAUGCAGAAUUCCAGGUGUAGCGGUGAGAUGCGUAGAUAUCUGGAGGAAUACCGGUGGCGAAGGCGGCAUCCUGGACCGAGAUUGACACUGAUGAGCGAAAGCUAGGGGAGCAAACGGG